AUUGAACGCUGGCGGCAGGCCUAACACAUGCAAGUCGAGCGGAGCAGCGGACGGGUGAUUAAUGCCUAGGGAUCUGCCUGGAAGUGGGGGAUCACGUCCGGACAUGGGCGCUAAUACCGCAUACUAUCAGAUAAGCCUCGGUCGGAUUAGCUAGUUGGUGGGGUAAAGGCCUACAAAGGCGACGAUCCGUAACUGGUAUGAGAGGAUGAUCAGUCACACUGGAUCGGAGGCAGAUGCCAGACUCAUAAGGUAGGAAGCAGUCGAGAAUAUUGGACAAUGGGCGAAUGCCGGAUCCAGCCAUGCCGCGUGUAUGAAGAAGGCCUUCGGGUGGUAAAGUACGUUCAGCGUGCAGGCGUUACCCGAAGAAGAAGCACCGGCUAACUCCGUGCCAGCAGCCGCGGUAAUUC
rnacentral:rRNA from 1 species